rnacentral:rRNA from 1 species
AAAAAGAGUGCGUAACAGCUCACUGGUCGAGCGACAGGGCAUCGAUAAUAAACGGGCAUCAAGUAUAGUACCGAAGCUAUGCGAAAUUUAUUUCGGUAGGGGAGCAUUCUAUUCCGCAGCGAAGGUGUACUGUAAGGUAUGCUGGAGCGAAUAGAAAAGCAAAUGUAGGCAUAAGUAACGAUAAUGAAGGCGAGAAACCUUCACACCGAUAGACUAAGGUUUCCCCGGCAAUGUUAAUCAGCCGGGGGUUAGUCGGGGCCUAAGGCGAAUCCGAAAGGAGUAGUCGAUGGACAACUGGUUAAUAUUCCAGUACCGGCUGUAUGUAGUGAUGUGGUGACGGAGUAGUGAAAGAUCCGCGAACUGACGGAAUAGUUCGUUAAAGCCCGUAGGUAUAGGUUGAGUAGGCAAAUCCGCUCGACUUGCCGAAGGUGAUAGUACCACAAGGCUUCGGCCAAGUGGAUAGUGAUCCUAAUCAGACUUCCAAGAAAAACCGCUAAACGUUUAACAUGCAGCUGCCCGUACCGCAAACCGACACAGGUAGUCAAGGAGAGAAUCCUAAGGUGCUCGAGUGAAUCACGGUUAAGGAACUCGGCAAAUUAGCCCUGUAACUUCGGGAGAAGGGCGCCACAGCAAUGUGGCCGCAGAGAAAUGGCUCAAGCGACUGUUUAACAAAAACACAUGGCUAUGCGAAAUCGAAAGAUGAUGUAUAUGGCCUGACACCUGCCCGGUGCUGGAAGGUUAAGGGGGGGCGUUAGUCGCAAGACAAAGCGCUGAACUGAAGCCCCAGUAAACGGCGGCCGUAACUAUAACGGUCCUAAGGUAGCGAAAUUCCUUGUCGGGUAAGUUCCGACCUGCACGAAUGGUGUAACGAUUUGAGCGCUGUCUCGACCGUGAGCUCGGUGAAAUUGUAGUAGCGGUGAAGAUGCCGCUUACCCGCAACGGGACGGAAAGACCCCGUGCACCUUUACUAUAGCUUUACAUUGACUCUGGGUAAAUAAUGUGUAGGAUAGGUGGAGGCUGUGAACCGGUGUCGCUAGGCAUCGGGGAGCCAACGUUGAAAUACCACCCUUUAUUUGCCUGGAGCCUAAUCCCGAGAGGGAGACAUUGUAUGGUGGGUAGUUUGACUGGGGUGGUCGCCUCCAAAAAAGUAUCGGAGGCUUCUAAAGGUACCCUCAGCACGCUUGGUAACCGUGCGUAGAGUGCAAUAGCAUAAGGGUGCUUGACUGUGAGACCGACAAGUCGAGCAGGGACGAAAGUCGAGUAUAGUGAUCCGGUGGUUCCGCUAAAA